rnacentral:misc_RNA from 1 species
CACCAACUGAACAUAUCUCAGCCAGAAACAGAAAAACAUCGACAUUGUGCAAGGGAGCAGAGAGACAAACCGGGCACUGAUCAGAAAGCCUAGCCUGAAGUAGUACUUAAUAAAGGCACAAUAAACACAAAUGAAUAGAGAAUUCCAUUGUGCCUUUACGAUCCGCCAAAUUAAAAUGAGGAAAUUUUCUCGGUAGAAAUGCUUCUUUUCCAUCUGUUUGUGUUUGCUGGCAACCUCAAGGAAAGUGAU